GUCGGGCAAGAUGUCGGCCUGCAACCUUCAGGCUGCUUAAUUCGAUUUUUGCUUCGCUUUGACCACGGAUGUACUGGCACUGUCGAAGUAGCAGUUGGUGAGGGCCGAGCAUACGUGCUCGGCCUUCUUAUUU
rnacentral:sRNA from 2 species